CUCUCUCACACCCUCACUUCUUCCUCCAUUUUCUCUAACCCUAACCUCCUUCCCUUCUCUCGACGAAAUUCACGAACCGCCGCCCCCGUCGCGUCUCAUGGAGGCUUCCGCCGUCGCCCACGCCACCUACCUCAAUCUCUCUCCGUCUCUCCUCCUCUCGUCCACUUCUCUUCUGAAUUGAACGGAAGAAUCCCCAAAUCGGGGGGGGGGGGGGGAGACGUCGAACCCUAGGCAAACAUUGAACGCUGUCGCCCUCCCCGUUGCGCCAGUCGUUGCGCCUCUUGUCGCGGCCAUGUCUAAAAGGUAAUCAGCAGAAGCAUGAAUAAAGCAUAAGAAGAGAGCAAGCUCAAAAUGAAUAAACUUGUAUGCAUUGCAUUCUUUUUGGAAGUGUUUUUCUAAACUGAUGCAUACAAAGUAGCUCGUUGCUAUACAUAGCAAUGCUCAGAUGAUACUAGAAGAAAGAGAAAAAGAUACAAAACAAAUAAUGAGCUGUCUCUUGAUUUAGCUCUUAUCCAAAUUGGUUGCUCCUUUCAGUAGCACAUCUUUCCAGCUAGGAAUAACUUGACAACAUGACAUGCUGGGAUCAGACGUGGCCUUGACUUCAUUUAGAGAUUGACUAACACAUGAUUCCACACUCACAUGGGCAUUUUUCUCAGCUUCAUCACCAGUGAGUUGGCACAGGUUAACAAGGUCGUCGGAAACAGGGUCGGGCCGUCGCGUGGACUUCCUCGCUCCCGGUGAUGACACGGCGUCGCCGCCGCCGCAGCCACAGCCACGGUCCGCAGCUCUUCCAGCGGUCCGCCAUCCAUCUCAUCGGCUCAGCGUUGGCGACCUUGCCGUUGGCGUCGCUCAUCCGCGGCGGAGGGAAAAAAAGGCGUCGACUCCUUCGAGUCCCGGUGAUACUCGAGGUUCCAGCCGCCCGUCGACCGUAGCUAAGUUUCUACUUGUUGAGGUUUUGAAUAAGAAUCAAAGGUUCCUAUGUUUAAUCUAGCUAAAACCUUAAGUUAGCGAAAUCCUUGUUCCAUUCGAUCCUCGUUUAAGACUGGAAAUUUUCAUUCACUACAUCUGGUGUUGAUUUCGUUGUGCUAUGAUUCCUCUGGUUUGGUUUAAUUAGUGCAUAUGUUUAGAGGAACUAUUGGUUUUAGCUUGGCAUGAGGAGACCUAUGUUUUAUCGAGCAUGAGUCUGAUUCUCUCGUUUCUAGCGUGGCUUAAGUGGUGUAUAGGCCGUAUUGUGAAGCAUUUAUCACUAUUAUGCUGUGUUUCCUAGUACGAGGUGUUACUACAUGAUGAUGUGACUAUAGUUUGAGUUUGAGAGGGUGGUGGUGUUACCUUCCUUGCACUACGAGGUCUCACUCACACCCUCUAGCUCACUGGUUGCUAGUUGAAAAUGUUGUGAUGGGAGGAAGUGAACCGAGGGAGGUAUAACAUAUAUAGGAGAGGUGUAACUGAAAGCCUGUAAGGCUGCUGGUGUGUGCAGUCGGACGGGGCCCUUAGGCUGUUCAAAGUUGGUUGAUCCUCCUGCAGCAUUGCAGGGCAUGUACUCGUGUAUUAAUGGACAUUGCAUCCCCCUUUUGCUGCUUCACUAGUUUCAGUUUGCCCUCUUGCUGCAUUCCACUGAAUUCUGUUGUGAAAAUUGCAGGUGCGAGCUGGUGUAGGGGCGGUUGGGCUAGGGUGCAGGAUGCUGCAGUUUUCCCUCUCUGAUCUGGUACACUCGGCAGUCCGUGGUGUCCAGGGAGAUGCAGCCUUCUAUCUUACCUAUUUAGGAAAUAAGAAUUGAUCGCACUUGCUGCCACCUUACUGAUCCGGCUGAGCCUAAAGGAGAGGCCCUAAGCUUAAUAGGAUAGGGUCAUCCGUAGUUCUCUUCCCCUCUUCCCCUUUUUUUUACAAGAGUAGUCGAACAUCUUAGUUCAGGAAAUGAGACUCAAGACAUCUUAGGGCCCGAACUUCUCAUGUAUAUUCUUUCCUUUAUUCCUGUCAUUAGGUAUUUUUUGUAAGCUAGCACAUAGCUUGGAAUAUUUAGCAUUGUAUUUCAUUUACUUACGGAAAUAAACGAACGCGCAUUCAUUCUUAAA